CAUGGAUUCUAUCUCGAAUUUUAUGGCUUUAAGCCAUUCCUUAGAGUUAGUUCUCUGUAUAGCAUCCAUAUAGCUAAGCAGAUCCUCAUCAUUCUCAUCUAGUUCAAUAGGAUCUCCAUCCCGAAUUAAGAAAUCAUAGUAUCUGUCUGGUUGAUGCGAUACUCUAUCAGAUCUCCUCAAAGGCACAUCUAUGAUGGACUUUGUGUUUGAUUCUCUAAUCAAAUCUGGCUUUCUUAGUCUAUUUGAUUGUGUCAGUUCUUCUAUCAUUCGAACUUCAUCAAGCUUGAUCUUAGUGGUAUUAGUUCCUUCACUAAGAAACUCUUUUUUCAAAAAGACUAUCCU
rnacentral:lncRNA from 1 species